ACUUCUUGGCUGCACCAGAAAUUCCCUUGGUCAUUCUUGCUUUACUUCUUUGUUUUCUUCCUUCUUUGUUCUUAUUGGUUGCACCUUUAUCUCUUCUUUGACUUUCUCAAAGAAAGAAGACUCAAGAAGCUCCCCCUCUCUUUUCCCACGGGUCCAAUUAAAUCAGAAAAUUCUCACUUCACUUUUCUCUCUUUUGUCUUAAGGAAAGUGCUUGGAAGCUCUAUUGAGUCUUCCCUCAAGUCCACAGGUUCACACACCAAAAGAAAACUCAAUUCUUCUUCAUAUUCUCUCUAAGGAACCAGAAAACUCUCUCAAGCUCUCUACCAUUCUUUCAUGAGUGGUUCUAUGUCUAUUUUUCCCCUCAAGAAACAUAAACUUGGUGUUACCAGUAUCCAAGUCUAAGCUCCUUCGACUUUAGGCUCUCGGUUCCUCUGCUUUCAAUUAGCAGGUUUUAUUUUGGAGCAAAGGGAGCCUUAGCCGAGUUUGAAAGGAGCUGGUUUUAGUUUUAUAUGUAUAGAUCCUAAAUUAGCAAUUCGAUGUUUAGCUUUGUAGUAUUGUGUAUUUUAGGA